UACGUAGGGUGCGAGCGUUAAUCGGAGUUACUGGGCGUAAAGCGUGCGCAGGCGGUCUGUUAAGACCGAUGUGAAAUCCCCGGGCUUAACCUGGGAACUGCAUUGGUGACUGGCAGGCUUUGAGUGUGGCAGAGGGAGGUAGAAUUCCACGUGUAGCAGUGAAAUGCGUAGAGAUGUGGAGGAAUACCGAUGGCGAAGGCAGCCCCUCGGUAGGUCAACACUGACGCUCAUGCACGAAAGCGUGGGGAGCAAACAGGAUUAGAACCGGUACGU
rnacentral:rRNA from 1 species